GUAGAUUCCCUCAGUCAGCGGCGAGCGAAGAGGGACCGAACCCGAUGCCGAAUCGGACCUUAACGGUCUUGAGUUGUGGCACAAGCGGUGUUUCGUGGUUGGUGCGGGAUCAGCAAAAUUCAAUUCGGCAAAGCAAACCCAGCUGAAAACAACCCUUCAUGUGAGUAUUGAGCCAUAGAAGGUGGUAGCCCAUUGAGCUGAGAACCCUAGCGCCUCAUUAAACACUUCAAGAGAGUAGCACUGUUUGGGAAUGCAGUGUCAAGCGGCAGGUAUUUGUCUGCCAAGGUUAAACACAGAGUAGGAAGACCGAUAUCGAACAAGUAGCGUGAGCGAAAGUUUGAAAAGCACUUUGGAGAGAGAGUGACAUAGAACCUGAAGUCGCGACAAUGACAAUGGAAGUACCUCCAUUUCAUUGGCCAAAACCCACCUGACAGCAUUCGAUUUCGGGCGCUACUUUGGUGGCGUUCCGUAACAAGUGCCGAAAACCGGGUGUGGUGAAAUGAGCGAAGAGAAAGAGUUCAACACUGGUUUACCAGCGAGGGUUCUCUUCUUCGUGAUGCUCAAUGUUGGCAAACC
rnacentral:rRNA from 1 species